rnacentral:rRNA from 1 species
UACGUAGGGACCGAGCGUUGUCCGGAAUCAUUGGGCGUAAAGAGCGUGUAGGCGGUCCGAUAAGUCCGCUCUGAAAGCCCGGGGCUCAACCCCGGGAGGCGGGCGGAUACUGUCGGGCUAGAGUCCGGAAGAGGCAAGUGGAAUUCCUGGUGUAGCGGUGAAAUGCGCAGAUAUCAGGAGGAACACCGAUGGCGAAGGCAGCUUGCUGGGACGGUACUGACGCUGAGACGCGAAAGCGUGGGGAGCAAACAGG